AGUGAACGCUGGCGGUAGGCCUAACACAUGCAAGUCGAACGGCAGCACAGUAAGAGCUUGCUCUUACGGGUGGCGAGUGGCGGACGGGUGAGGAAUACAUCGGAAUCUACUUUUUCGUGGGGGAUAACGUAGGGAAACUUACGCUAAUACCGCAUACGACCUACGGGUGAAAGCAGGGGAUCUUCUGACCUUGCGCGAUUGAAUGAGCCGAUGUCGGAUUAGCUAGUUGGCGGGGUAAAGGCCCACCAAGGCGACGAUCCGUAGCUGGUCUGAGAGGAUGAUCAGCGACACUGGAAGUGAGACACGGUACAGACACCUACGGGAGGAAGCAGUGGGGAAUAUUGGACAAUGGGCGCAAGCAUGAUCCAGACAUACCGAGUGGGUGAAGAAGGCCUUCGGGUUGUAAAGACAUUUUGUUGGGAAAGAAAAGCAGCAGGUUAAUACCCCGCUGUUCUGACGGUACCCAAAGAAUAAGCACCGGCUAACUUCGUG
rnacentral:rRNA from 1 species